AUUUAUGGAUGAAUGGAUGUGUGGUGGAAACACAUUUCCUCUCUUCUCAGUGCUCAAAGUUUAUUUCGUAUGUUACAAAGAGUGAGUUCUGUUAAACUUUGUCUAAUUUCCCUUUUUCCCCCCUCUCUGUUUGAUAUGAUGUCAAACCCCAAUGGCACGUUGAACUUUUCUUGAAUUUUGGUAGUGAAAUUGGCUCUUGAUUUAUAUUUAUUUCACUUUUGCAUAAACCUUAAAGGUCCUUAAAGGUUUCUUAAUUAUUAAGUAACUUCAGCUUUUUUAGGCUUUGACAAUCAUGUCCUUACUUGUUAUCCUCUUUAGAGCUAGUCAUAAAUGCAGUAAUAAUGUCCAUUGAAUAUUUUGAGGUGUUAGAUUAUUUUAAUCUGAUAAAAAUGAUUAGAGAUACCACAAUCAAAAGGAGCAAACGACAUUUUUGUUUUAUUUUCUAAUGUCACUGUACUGAAUUAUAACAGAAAUGGAGUAGCAUCAAGCUGAGAUUGAAACUGAGUCAACCCGAGCAUUGAGGUAUAAUUUUUUCAUUCAAAGAAUACGGGGGAAGAAUGGCGAGCUUCUUUCUUGUUUGAAUAUUUUCUUCCGAUGUGGUUCUGAUUUUUGAAUUCGAUAAAUAAUCGUUGAAU
rnacentral:lncRNA from 1 species